AUUGAACGCUGGCGGCAGGCUUAACACAUGCAAGUCGAGCGAGAGGCGGACGGGUGAGUAAUGUCUGGGAAACUGACUGAUGGAGGGGGAUAGCAACUGGAAGCGGUAGCUAAUACCGCAUACCAGCAGCAGUGCCCGGAUGGGUUGAGCUAGUAGGUGGGGUAAGGGACCACCGAGGCGACGAACCCUAGCUGGUCUGAGAGGAUGACCAGCCACACUGGACCUGAGACACGGUCCAGACUCCUACGGGAGGCAGCAGUGGGGAAUAUUGCACAAUGGGCGCAAGCCUGAUGCAGCCAUGCCGCGUGUGUGAAGAAGGCCUUCGGGUUGUAAAGCACUUUCAGCGAGGAGGCGUUACUCGCAGAAGAAGCACCGGCUAACUCCGUGCCAGCAGCCGCGGUAAUUC
rnacentral:rRNA from 1 species